rnacentral:misc_RNA from 1 species
GUGAAUCAUCGAAUUUUUGAACGCAAAUUGCACUCUCUUCGGAGAGUAUGCCUGUUUGAGGGUCAGCCUAAAAAAAAUCUACAUAGUUGCUGUUUCGCAGUGACUUUCGUCGGUUAUUGGGUCAUCUUAAACCUUUGGGUUUUAAGCGGCUUAAAAUUUUCUUUACGAUUCCACGAACGUUUCUAGGAUUAACUUCUUACGCUUAAGGUUUCGAUUUUUAUUUGACGUUUCCGUUGCAUCGGGUUACUUCCAUAUCUAUUUCUUUA